rnacentral:lncRNA from 1 species
UGGGCAGUUCAGGCAUGGGAUGGGGCUGGGAAGCCACCUGGCAUGGAGCAGCGGCAGUGCAGCAGGUUGAUGGGGUUCUCCUCUCUGUGUUUCAUGCUCUUUGGUCUGUUAUUGCUUGCAGGGUCGUGCAUCUGUCCAAGUGCCUGGCUGCACCUAGUGCGAGGAUGCUGCGAGCUCUGUGACAGCAGGGGAUGCACACGGAUGCGCACGGAGAAGAGGUAGUGCCGCGCCUGAGCUGAUCGCGGGGAGGGAGCCCGCAAGUGCCAGGAGAACAAGCAGAAUAUGAGUGAGAGCAGGCACUUUCCGUUGUCUGUGGCAGCCCGCAGCGAGCUGCAUUCCUCAGGCUCACAGCCUACUGUGCAAGCCCACAGCGAUGGGGACGAGCAGCUUGGCCAGCCUGCAGAGCCUGCCAGCGGGAGAGCCAGCCCCCUGGAUGACGCUGAG